CCUACGGGAGGCAGCAGUGGGGAAUAUUGCACAAUGGGGGAAACCCUGAUGCAGCGACGCCGCGUGAGUGAAGAAGUAUUUCGGUAUGUAAAGCUCUAUCAGCAGGGAAGAAGAAAUUACGGUACCUGAGUAAGAAGCCCCGGCUAACUAGGCGCCAGCACCCGCGGUAAUACGGAGGGUCCGGGCGUUAUCCGGAUUUAGUGGGUUUAAGGGGAGCGUAGGCCGGUCGUUAAGCGUGCCGUGAAAUUUUGUGGCCCAACCAUGAGAGUGCGGCGCGAACUGGAGACCUUGAGUGCGCGGAAGGCAGGCGGAAUUCGUGGUGUAGCGGUGAAAUGCUUAGAUAUCACGAGGAACCCCGGUGGCGAAGGCAGCCUGCCGCAGCGUUACUGACGCUGAGGCUCGAAAGCGCGGGGAGCGAACAGGAUUAGAUACCCUUGUAGUC
rnacentral:rRNA from 1 species